rfam:Dipodomys ordii contig_34891, whole genome shotgun sequence.
GGGAAGGUGGCUCAGUGGUAGAGUGCUUGCCUUGCAUGCAUGAGGCCCUGGGUUUGAUUCCUCUGUACCA